GGACAAAUGGACCUGCGGUAGGAGAGAGGGACAACAGUAGGAGCAGGCAGAUCUUGCUGUUUCAACCAAAACCUCAUGCUGACCAGAGUUGAGGAACAGAAGAAGAUGGUGAAGGCCUGCAGGUAUAGGUGUUCAGCAUGUCAUCUGAAAUAUUCCCCACAGAGGCAAAAAGAAAGGAAAUUAUCUCUGAAAAGGAAUGGGAGGACAAGCAGAAAUGAAGAUGCUUGUUUUCCUAGAAACAAGCCCAGGUCAUCCAUCAUGAAGUCCAGGAAUUGUAAAUGUGAGGAAGUGCAAAGACACAACGUACACUUACAAAGGCAUAUGUGCAUUUGGAAUUCUUUAAAGGACAACAUCCUCGAGCUUCUCCUGGGCCUCAGCCAAAACGGAGACACAAAAUGCAUCAUGCUAACAUUGUUGUAUGUAUGUGUAUGACUACAUAAUAUUCUAUCAUUUUGUUUUAUAUAAUCUAUGAACCAACAUCUUAUAUUUACUGUAGUUCUAUUUUUAUUAAAACGUAUAUGAAAAUUUACAUUU
ensembl:lncRNA TESHL testicular germ cell expressed HSF2 interacting lncRNA